ensembl:lncRNA
GGGAGACGAGCCUAGCAGGCAGCCCAGCCUUCGGAGGAAACUGAGUAAAUUAAAGGAGCUGUUAUUUCAGGCGCGGAAAUUUAAAAAUAUUUGGACAGGAAGAGAAAAGAAAAGAAACCGUAGCAAGGAGGAGGAGGAGGAGAGAAAAAAAAACAACCCUACUAUAGCUAACGGUUUUGAAAGUCCUCCACACCCCCUCUUCUCCUCCUCUCCUCCAACCCCCACCCCCAGCAACGCAGGCUGCCUCUCUUCACCCGGGGGGGGGGGGGGCGGAAUUGGGGGGGGGGGAGGCCGAGAGCCUGGGGGGGGAGAGAAGGAGCUUCGGGCUCCCACUUCUACCCUGCCUAAGCCCGGGCCUAGAAACGAUCCCCAAGAAGGAAACUCUGAGGACCUAGGUUCAAAUCCUGCCUUUGCUACUUGAUUUGCCAUUUACUAGCUAUUUGACCUCAGGGCUAUUCCUUCUUUCCUCUGGGCCUCAGUUUCCUCCCCUAUAAAGGGAGGAAGGGUUUGGUUAGAUUAUCUCCAAGGUUCCUUACAGCUCCAAGCCUAUAUCUUUAACCGACGGCUUCGAAGAAAGAUCAAGGGCCGGUCUAGGCUCUGAUUUAGGGCGAGAGCUCAUCUCUCUGGGUUUUCCCAAGGGAGUGUGCCCCUUCCCCUUUCUAGCCUGAGAAUUAUUCUGACCUAGAACAAGGGCUCCUCAUGCUUCCUCCCUGGCCCCAGCUCUCUCCGUUCCUGGUCGCCCUCCUUCCAUUCCGGGCAGCAAAGCAAGCUGUGGUUGCGGCUGAUUAUCCUCAUUCAGCUCGGUGGUCAGUCUUGUGGUUUAUUUCGAACCGCAUCGGGGAAAUGGACAAGAUCCCAAAGCUCAUUCCUUCCUUCCCCCAGGACUCAUUCCCUGCGGCUUUGUACUUCUCCACCUCCUACGUCGAAUCUCCUCAGGAAACGAGGUGCACAGGAGGUGACACCUGGGAACUGAAGCGAACUUGUCCAUGGGGCUUUGACCACCCUGGCCCAGGUGGUUAAACGUAGCUGCUGUCUCCCACCACGCAGCGCACGCACCCUUCGGUCCAUUGCAGGGGCUAGAACUGCUCUUGUGCUUAUUCCAGACAUAUUCUGGCACUGGGGGGAUCUGAAGCAGAGAAGCCUUGUCCUUGGCUUCCUACAUAACUUUUCUCCGGAGCCCUUCAUCUAUCUCACCCCCAGUCCCGGGUUAUCAUCCCCAGCCCCGGCCUCUGCCAGAGAUCCAGCUGGCCCUCAGGCGCUCCAGGCUGUCCCCUCCCUUCCAGUUCCAUCCUGCAGCUCCGGGCAGUGGAGAGCAGCUGGAUUCCCGCCCACCCUGCUCCCUCGGUACGAUGUUCAGUCUUUCUUACACGUUGCAGUAUUUUCACGGGCCCGAAUAAUGCAUCUUAUCGGGUCUUCUGAACGAUCGAAUCAUGGCUUCUCUUACUUCCUACAGAAGACCACACUAGUCAUUUCUAAAAUACUGAGAUGAGCAAAGUGAUUUCCGUACAAAGCAACAGAGUAAUGCAGCGAUUUCAAAUGUCAACCUCAGGCUGUUGAAGAAAAACAAUUCCCUUCACAAUCCCCCCACCCUUCUAAACAUUGAGUUCCCACCACCUGAAUUCAAACCAAUGGCAUGAGGACUCUUUGCUGGGCCUAGCUGAAGCUUGGAAAAUUUGCCUGGGAGUCAUAUUUUGGAUCUUUAAAGGGGGGGGGGAGGGAAUUGGGGAGGAGGCAAUUUUGCAGUGUGA